rnacentral:lncRNA from 1 species
AAAAAAAAACAAAAACUAAAAGCUAUCAUGAUGGCCUAUCAUGUGCUAAUUGUCAUUGAUCAAAACCAUGGACUGAACCAAGGAGAACCAGACCGGACAAAUCUAUGGUUCAUCAGCCGCGGUUUAGUUCAAUGAUUGGCAUCCUCGCCGCAUUAGCUAAAUCUGCGGCUUGCCCACAGAGAUUCGUGGAUAUGGAUGGCAGGCUUGAAAGGCACUCCCAGUUAUUGUUGCUUUGGCCACCAACAACCUACUUAAAAAUAGAAGAAAACAAUGAUAAAAAAUCUCCACCACCUCCUAUAAAUACCAAAAACCCGUGAUCAAUCCCUCCAUAGAACCCUCAAAGCCUCAAUCUCUUAGAAAAAACGGGCCUCAAAUCCUAUAUCUGCAAGGAUGAUGUCCAUGGGAGCUAGCUAUGCCCGCCUCCGUGUCCAACAAGAGCACUACAAGGAAAAGCUGAAGAGAAAGGAAGGGGAGGAGGCCAAAGGAGAGAAGAAGGGCUCCAAAGGGAAGAUCCAUCCUAGCGGCCCGGCGACGUCGAGCUCGAACUCUUGAAAGAAGGGAGGAGGAGAAGAAGAAGAAGAAGAAGAAGGAUCUAUGCCUGAUUUACUGUUAGCUAUUUGUAACAUCGAUUUUUUGUUCAGUAACACCUCAUUUUAAAGACUUCGUACUUUUUUUUUUGUUGAUUUCCCAAAUCUCGUUAGAGUGUCCCUUGUAGAUUUUUUUUUUUUCUGGAAUUUCUGUUUUCUGAAAGUGCGGGAAGUUGGGAAAGAAGAAGAGAGCUCCGAGAGGAGCUUUUUUUGAAGCAUUACUUCAAACACUUCGGUGUUGUGUUGCAACAUGACCGGGAGCCUGCAGAGGCUCAAGUACUCUUUCACGCUGAAGGCAGUGAGUGGCGGCGUCUCUCGCCCAAAAAAUUAUAUCCUAUACCACAUCGACCGCAUGGCAGCCCACCAUGCCAACCACAACCAUUCAUUCCUACGUUAUAGCAUAAAUAAAAUCCACAAAAUUAAACAUUAGCGCGGUGUCCAUCACAAUAGUGCAUGUGGUGUAAGAUAUAAUUGGGCCUCUCGCCUGAGAGGCACCACGUUAGAUCAUCAGUAGUGCACCAUACUAAUUCUUUAACAUAUCUGGGAUAGAAUAUAAUUUUAUAAAAAUUAAAUUUUAUCUGAAAGUUUUGCUCUCUCACUCCAUUAGAUUAUUGGCUGCAUAAUUGUGUAAGGGUUAACUUCUAGGUGCCAAAUGAAUCUAAGUUUUCUAUGGGCGCCGACCAUUCAAAACUUGGGCAGGCAAGUUAGGGCACUACCACCAAACAAUUGUUGAACACCAAUUGAACAAGAAACGGGUUUGAUUCUAGUUGGAGUUGAUUCUCAAAAAGUGAGAUAGGUAUAAAAUUAAAAGACAAAAAAUGGUGAAGAUCAACCCACUAUUUAGGUGUAAAAUUUGGAAAAAAAAAGGGCUGUAGGUUGGAAGAAAUUAGGAUGUGAAAUUCUUGUACAGGCAUCUCGCAAUGUUUCCAUUACCUCCCUGAUCUAUUCCUUGUCUAUGAAUCAAUCCCAUAUGGAAGUCUAUGAUUUGCUUCCUUGAUUGGCUAAAUAGUACAUGGGACCUAGGAGGUUAGCACAGAGAGGUAGCAGUACUUGUUCUUCAAUAUCUUGUAACAAGCAACUUAAUAUGGUCCCAUCAAGGUACCAACACAUGCUAGGUGUCAUUUAGAUGAACAUCAUCUCGUUGUUUCUUGUUCCUUUUUACAAGCAACCUGAUUCAAGUAUUGGAUGCCAACUAGGUCCCUAUAACUAACGUGCCUCAACAUCCUAAUGUGAUCUUAUCAAGAUGCUAACUAAUUUGGUUCCUUCUAUUUGGCAUAUCUAGUAUUGUGGAUGCUGUGGGAUAUGCCAUCUAAGAAUUGAACUUAGAAUGGCGAUGUUACCGUUAAGGCCAGUAUAUAUGUUGCUUGUUAACUUUUAAAUUCCUUAGAGAAACUUUUCAUACACAUGAGUUUAGCACGAACUAGGAUUUAAGAUCCCAGAAGUGGUUUGAAGCAUCACCAAGGGUGUACAUGCCAUGAACUAGGAUUUAAAUUUUCUUUGCUCUUCCCCGUUUAGCCUGAUUAUUCUAACUAUGGACCAUGAUUAAGUCCAUGGUUCUUAGUUCAAUUUAAGAAUAACUAUCUAAAUAAUGAUUUAAACGAGCACAAUACUAGAACAACCACCACUUCAAAUGGCUCUCAUAUAAAUUAGAUCACUAUUAAACCUGAUCAACAACAUUUGGAUAAAUAUACAGAUUGGAGUGUUUCAAGUACUGCAUGCUAGUGAUUUGGGUUCAACUUUCUCUAUGUUAAUAGGCAGAUGAAGAUCGACAUUCAGAUUGAAUCAAGCUCAAAGUUCAUAGCUGAAGCUUGUUUUAGGACCACUUUAAUAAACAAUCUAGCAAUUGGAGUCUGACUUGUUUGCAUGCAGCUUAGUUGCUUUAUAGCCUUAAGCCCCGUUUGGCAGAAUUGUUGGCACUAGAGCUUUCAGAAAUAGAACUUUUUGAAGUAAAACUUUUAUAAAAAAGUUAUUUGCUGUUUGGUAACUAUAUUUUUAAAGUGUUGUGAUGUGUUUAGUAAACAAAUUAAGAAAGUACUUUUGGUUUAACCACAGCCAUAGGCCAACCUAUUGGUGUGAUAUAGCCCAUUUAACUUUGAUCCAUUCUUAGAGUGGAGGACCAAGAAACAAGCUUGGCCUUCGUAGAAUGGCGAGCAUCAAAAUCACUUACCAGAUAAUCGCUAGCCUUUGGAACAACCAUCUUAGUGCUAUCCAUUUAUUCUCUGUGAUCUAGCGCACUCCUGUUUUUCCAAAUUUGCCACCACAUCCAUGCAUAAGAGGCGUUUCCCGGCAAUAAACCUGGGUUAAAUGAAGAUAGCCAUUGAUAUAGCUUUCAAAAUAUCAUUCAUCUUGGCAAAUUGAAAUCAAAUUAUCAACACAUUUUUCGUUUAUUAAAACAAAACUGACGUAGAAUCGUGUGAUUUGAAAAGCUUAUUUUUCUCAUGUUAUUUUGGAUGAAUAUAGCCAACCGAGGAAAAGUAAGAAGGGGAAUAAAGGGCAUAUCGUGAGUUGUAGUUUCCAACACGGAUUCAGGGAACCAAGCCACAUUUGUUGAGAUUGAAUACUAUGAUACAAGAUUUGCUUAAUUGCAAUCCCUAGUAUAGGCAAGAGUUUGCAUUAUGUAUCAAUAGAUAUCAUACCAUGCUCCAUAUAUGGAAGGCGAAUGGACGCAUGGAUUGGCUUAUGCAUUUAGCAUCAACAUCCACCGUUACAUUCUUUUACUUCACUUUUACGCCCUCUCUUCUUCUUAAAAGUUCAAAGCAAAGAUUCUUCACUUCAAAGUCUACCUCAGCUCUUGUAACAUCUUGGACUAUAUUCAUUAUUGGAGAACUUUCAUCUCUGAGUUUUCUCAAAGUCAACUUCGAUGGAUGUAUGAUAGAUGGCGGUGGAAGAGGCGAAGUAGGCUCUCUAAUUAGAAGCCUAGACUCUAGACUCGUCGUACGAGUGGAGUUGAGGACUGCCUAGGCCCGCAUUAGCUAUGCUCGAUGUAUCCUAAGAGAUGACACCAUCUUGGUUGGGGGCAACUCUGAUAUGGUAAUUAAUUUGAUCCAAUGACAAGUUAGAAAGAUUGGUACGCACGCUAUGCUUCAAGAUGUGUGGUAUUGGGCGAGAGGAUGCAUCUUUCUUGGGGCCAUCGAUCACCCCAAUGCCUGCUGCAUGACGUGAUUUAGAAGGCUUUGUACGUGGAUGUCACGAGGCAUCUCUGACACCGUCUGGAAUAUCCACGUGCUCCCUCUCUCCCCACUCCCCGCUGUCACAUUGACUCAAAGCAAUCCUUCAACUUAAAAUGCAAGACGUGUCAGCUGCUGACGCACUACACUGACCUCCAUUUUAGCGUGAUUCGUCGCGGUAUCACGGACGAUAAAUCGGCCAUACCGCCCGAUUUUUUCCAAUUAUUGGCGGACUUCCUUUCGGAGAGUCAUUCAUCGAUCUAACGGCCCCGAUCAAACCUGACAACCCACCCACGGCACGCCUUCCAUUUCGGCGUACUUUCCGCCGCUGCUGAUGUAAUCGUACGGUCUGGAUCUACCGAUAAAUGCCACAGAACGACUCGGAGAUCGUACGGUAGAGGAUGUCGAGGGCCGUGGAUCCUCUUCCCACUAGUGCGAUGUCACCCUGGCGUCUGGGCGCAUCACGAGUCUAUGCUCAGUGGGAUCCAGCCCUGCACGUGGAAUGAGUAAUGACGCUUGGAUUAGCAUUAAGAAGUUCUUAGUUUAAAGUUAACUAAUUAGCUAAUAGUAAAGUAUAUUAGAAUGGCAGUAAUGAUAAGAUGGUGGGGUUUGGUCGAGAAGACGUAUCAUUUCACGUUGUCCUCCUCGACAACUUGUUUAAUUAAUUUCUCUGCCUGGAUUAAACAAAGAUAAUAGUGUUAAUUAAGAUAUUAUCGAACGAAAUUUAUGAUAGGUUUGCACAGUUUGCACACUGUGUCCAUUAAGGGCACUGAUAUGCAACAUGUUAAGGAUAACAUUGCUAUGAAAAGGUCAUAGUGUAGCUCCAUAUGUUGCAUUUGUUUGGAUGAAUGCUAGAUAUGUGACAUGACCUGAUCUAAGUUACCGUGGUGUUACUUAAAUUCCUUAUUUUUAUUUCUCAGACCUCCAAAUGCAUGCAAUGCGUCAAUUCUUGCUUGUAAGCUAGUGCAAUUUUUUCCCCCUUCAAUUUCUCAAAUUUUUGUACUGUUGCAUUUAAGUGGAAGGCGAUCAAGAUGCUUCUUGAUUGAGUAUAAGUGAAGCAAGCAAAACUAUUUCACCUAAAACAAGGGGUUACUUUACUCAGCUUGGCAGGGAUCAUGGGUUAGGUGAUUUGUCUAUUAGUCAUCAUGUCUACCAAGGCAAGUUUUCUAUUCAAACAACAAUAAUAAACCUGCAGCCAAUUGGGCUGAGCAUAGACAUAUGUACUUUAACAUAGUUGGCCUCCAAUUGUACCUACAACUAUCACUAAAUUUAAGAUUGAUUAGAAAAUUGUGAAGAAGGAUUUGUACUGGCAAAUUUCAAAAUAAAUGAAAAUCCUUCACCAGUUUUAAAAGACAUCUUUGUACCUAGCUAUGUGUUGUCUAAAAUCAACAAUUUUCAAAAAUAACUAGAAUAGGCAUAAAUAAUACUGUAGCUUUCCUUCUUUUUUUUCUAAAGUGCAAAAGCGUGGCUUUCAAUUUAAAAUAACUAUAACUAGGCAUGAUUUACUCUUCAUUGUCCAAAAAUAGAUACACAUAACAUGAUAUAUAUUCCCUGCAAUUUCUUUCAUGAAAUACUAUAAGCAUGUUCAUACCGGCAAGGAAAAAGGUAUGCAAAACUUGCCAUUUUCUCCAAAACCCAAUAAUCUAAUUUUCUAAUUAAACAUAAACUUCCAACCUAAGGAUAAUCUAAUACUUGUAAACCAAUCUCCAUUUAAAUUUCUAAACUUUUAAAAGAUGCAAGAUAAGACAUGCACCAUAACUUAUAGAAUACCCUAAUGAAAUUUCAUAUCUGGUUGAAACUUCAAGAGCGACUCUUAUUUUCUUAUAUCAUAUACGACACAAAAUUUAAAAGUGAUUUCAAGCAUAAUUUCUUUUUCGUUCUUCUAAUAAAGAAGACUGAUCAAAUGAUUCUAUAUUUUUGUGGUACUUUUUCAUACUUUAUUUACUCAUUACCAUAUUUUCCAAGAGGGUAAAUACUUGUUAGAAACAUGCAAUAGUUGAUUUGAUAUUUUUUUUUAUCAACAUGAUAUCAAUUAUACCUACCAAAUUAAUAUGAAUAACCUAGCAUAUAUUUUUUUUCCACCUAGGCUAUGUUUGGAAGGUGAUUAAAGGGUAGAAAAUAUAUAGUUAUCAAACUAGUCAGCCAAACACGAUUUACAAGUGGCGAAUAAACUUAGCUAGAUUAUUUUUUUAGGAGAGAGUAAAAUGACUUCAACCAUCUAAACCACUCCCCCUCUCUCAUAUUUGCUACUUUUUCACCUUUUCUAUAAUUUUAUCCCAAACAAGGCAUAAGUUAUCAGCUGGAUAGGGGAAAAUAUCAAUAGUUAAAAUAAUUAAAGGGAUGGUUUGUUAUUUGGCAUCCAAAUGCAAUUUUAGGAUCUUCAUAAGUUUGUGCAAUAAAAUGAGCUGGAAAGGCAUUUCCUCAAUUCUACACACUAGCUAUUCAUCCAACAGGACAAGUUUCCUCCUCAAGGGCGUGAUUGCCAACAAAAUGGGGGUGACAAUAAAGCCAUUCAAGUCAUCUCAGCUACAACCUCUCCAGCGGCCUUGCGGGUAAUUGACCCAAAGGUUUGUCCAGUUUAUUUUUUCUACACUAAUAUUAUUUUAUUAGUCGUUUCUAAUCAUCCGAAAAUAGCGGGCUUUGGCGGGAUGUCCUUUUCUUAAACCCUCCUCUCUCUCUCUCCCUCCCCCCCCUCGUGUAUACCUACGCCGUAUAUCCUCCCCUCGUCUCUCUCUUCACUCCUCUCUACCCAAAACCUUCGGUCUCUUGGUCGCCCAUGGCGAGCUCGAUCGAGCCCUAGAGUUCCUUUCGAACCACGCGAGGCCCCAAUGCCCUCGAAUCCCAGGCCCAUUUCACUUUCCAACGGCCUUCGGAUCCUUCUCGAGGACGGCUCCCUCGCCCUCGCUUGAUCUCCAAGCACCAGAUCCGGAAUUAGGUACAAGCGCGGCGAGCUGUCCCUUUCCCCCCUACAUUCCCUCUCCACUCCUAGGGUUUCAGUUCCAGUAUCCUCCUGAAUCUAGCAGGAUCGUCCCGAAAGUCCAGCCGACGGUGCUGAUGUCUCAGGUUUGUGUCGGGAUUUUGAAUUCGUUGCUGGGAUCUCACUGCUGGCGUUCUAGGUGUUUGGACUCUGUUGUUGUUAGUUUAAUUUGAGAGUGUUAAGGUGAGAUUCUAAAUAAAGAGCUCUUUCUGACUUGCAUUUGAUUCUGUAGUAGUGGAAAAAGUCAGGGCUUUCAUGGAGAAUCAUUGCAUUCUUUAGUCUGUUGGAACGAUUUAGUUCUUUUGGUUCAUCCCUGUAAAAUUAGAGUCCUUUUGGGAAAUCCUUUUUGUGGGAUCUGAUAUAUUGGAUGUCGCUUCUGUUAAUCAGUUUCCCGUCGUUUAAAUGAUUUUUUUGGAAGAAAUGUUGUUAAUUAAGUUUAGAAGAAAAGGUGCAUUUUUUGAGCAAGUUAAACUAAUCUUCUGGGUUUCUCAAUUUUUACUUGUUUUCAGUAUAUAAAAUGGAACAAAAUCAGAUAUUUUGUAGGGUUUCAAAAUUACUGUUCAGUUAUAAGAAUUUAGGAUGUUGAUUUUGUCCUUGUUUCGUUUUUCUUGACAGGAAAUAGGCUACAUGAUAUUGGUCGUCAGGUUCAUGGGAGAUAAUUAAAGAGGAAAGGCCGUGUUUUUAGGUGGCUGUCAGCUGAUUCUGGAACAAUGUCGAGGAUUCCUAAGUGGAAAACUGAAAAGACAAAAGUGAAAGUGGUUUUUCGGCUACAGUUUCAUGCUACACAUGUAAGCUCUGCCUUUACACCAUGGCUUUUAUUUGUUUUUCUUUGAUACUACUUUAAUUGUUCGUUAAUUCUCAAAGAUUGGACAUAUAUCUUUGUUCACAUGCAAUCUUAGUCUUUACCCUUUCCUUUAAUUCUUUUUAUCAAGUGACUACACAUGCACGUGAUCUUCUUUACUUGAUUCUUUACUUGUUCAUAGGCAUUCAGUGUUUGCUAAAGUUGUGUUUGAAAACCAAAAGAUCCUGAUCUCUCUCUCUCUCUCUCUCUCUGUGUGUGUGUGUGUGUGUGUGUGUGUGUGUGUUAAAAAAACAUCUUGGCUUCAAAAGAUCAUCUUCCGAAUUUUCUUUGCUAAGUUUUUCUCAGCUAAGCUUCACUAUAUAUGGAAAUGUUUAAAGUUCUUUUGAGUGCUGUUGUGCUGAGAGUAUUAUGUGUGUUAGAUCUCAGGCAUUUGAGUAUAUGAAAUUUGAGAAGCUACUGACUUUCUCGCUUCAAUGAUUUGUGGUACUUCAAUUCCUUCCCUGCUUGCAACUUCUUUAUAUGUUUAGGUUCCAGCUUAGUCACUGACAUGGAAAGGAUAUAUAGAUAAUUCAGCUACUUGUUGGUGCAGCAAUGAUUUUGAAGCAUUCAUUCCCAUUCUCUGAAAUAUUACUACUAUGAAUUUUGGCAAGUGGAUUGCUUCUCUAACUCUAUUUUUUGAUCAAAAUUCUCUCUACUGUCAUCACCAAGUGUUUGCCACUUAUUGAAAAGAGCUAAUUAGGCUUCAAAUAUUAACUUAUACUGUCAUGCAUGUCCAUAAUAUUUAAUUAUCUUCUACUGGCACCAUAGACAAUGAAUAGGUUGGAUAUUGCCAUCUACCAUUUUACUGCUCUGAUGCUGAAUGAAUGCAGAAACUAUGUCUCAAUAGGCUAGUCUUUGACAGGAUUCACUUUCACAAGCUAGAAACAUUAUAUAGAGCUUAAAGAUGAAUAGUUUUAGAAAGUGCUUGCCUUGCAUGCGAUCUCCUAGGCAUGGCAUAUUUUUGAAACCACUACACAUUUAGAUUAAAAGGACCUUCUUUUUACCAGAAGUGCUAUGGUUCAUUAUGAUUUUCAUAUGUGUUUCUGCCUUGGGAAGCUUUGAUUAUAGAAUAUGCUAAUUAAAGUCCGGGUUAUUAUUGGUGUAUCCAUUUCGUAAUUCUUUGCACGAGUUGAUAGAUGAGAACUAAUUGUCUUUUCUUGUUUCAGAUUCCUCAUCCUGGAUGGGACAAAUUAUUUGUGUCCUUCAUCCCUGCUGAUGGAGGAAAAGUGACUGCAAAGACAAACAAAGCAAGUGUGAGGAACGGAAACUGUAAAUGGUCAGAUCCAAUCUAUGAAACUACAAGACUUCUGCAAGAUGCAAGGACCAAAAAGUAUGAUGAGAAGCUCUAUAAGCUUGUGGUGGCAAUGGUAUUUCCAACUCUUUUACAGCCAAGACUUCUCCAUUUAAUAUCAUUUACAGUGGUGCUAUCACUAUAUUUUUCUCGUUAGACUUCUGAUUUAAAAAGCUUGUGUGCAUAUGUUCUUUAAUCCAUCUCAUUGUCUGAAAUUUUGUGCCUGAGAUAUUUACUGGUAAUUAGUACUCACUCCACCUUUUGGUAAUCUUCCCAAUAUAACCAGGGAUCCUCUCGGUCUAGUCUUCUUGGGGAGGUCAACAUCAACCUUGCCAACUUUGCAGAUGCACUGAAGCCUUCCUCUGUUGCACUACCUCUUCAUGGUUGUGACUUUGGGACAGUUUUACAUGUGAGAAUGCUCCUCUCCCCACCCAAGAAAAAGCUUUUCCAAACAUUUUCAUUUUAGCUUUAUUUUUCUUUUGUUAUACAUGGUUUUGCCCACUGUUGUCAAAUUCUAGUUAUCCAGAAAAGGCCUGUCAGGCCUGUUUGGUUCUUAGUUUAUGGCUGAUCAUCCAACACAUGUCACGUAAUGAGACCAAAGUUUCAUGUCUAUUUAUUUAAUAUUGUUGAAUGAAUUUCUUUUAUGUGCUUCACACUCUUGUUCCGUGCUUAAGACUGAAAGGAAAUUGCAAUUAUUAGAGUAAUAUGCUUUGUUAGUUUUUCAUCGAGUAAUGCCUUUUCUUUCUCUGGAUUGUGAACCUACAAAAUCGAUUGUUAAUGUGGUUUCUCUUUCUAAAACACGGCUGUUACUAACUAUUUCAGGUCACAGUACAACUUCUCUCCUCCAAAACUGGUUUCAGGUGCUGCUUCAGUAACAAUAUAGCCUAGUUUUUAUUAAUAUUACCUGCCAGUCUUACACCUGAUUAUGUUAUUUCAGAGAAUUUGAACAGCAAAGGGAGCUCAGUGCGAAGGGAUUUCAUACAACAUCAAGCCAGAGAAGUCAUGAUCCAGCCGAAAUUGUAGCAGCUUCAUCAGAGGCUGCCAGUGACCCAACAGACAAGGUCUGGUAAUAUUUGGACGAUUAUAUUGUUAAUUUAAAAUUAUUGUCAAGUUUCCACAUAUGUGCUGUUUUCUGCUUUAUAUAACUUUGAUAUAGAGUUGGAAGAGUGCUCCUAAGAGUCAUUGAUGGUUGACCUUGGAUCUACUUGGUAUUUUGUUUGAUAAAUUUAAGAUUACGCUGUUAUUAAUUUAAUAGAUAAUAUUUACUUAAGGGAACGGGACAGAGUUACAAAAGAAUAUUCAUCUCUGCAAUAGAAACUAAGGAGAAAAGGCCCAAGAGUUCAUUUGGGGAUGUCCAAUGUUUGUAAUAUCAUUUUCUAUAUGACUUCCAGCUCGCACAGCCUCUUAGCUCCAGUAAGCUAUCGAUUGAUGCGAAAAGACUUUGAUCAAUGCAUUUACUUUUAGGGUUAAUUAUAUUGACUAAUGUUUUUCUUGAAAAGUUUUUUUCUUAAGAGUUAUUUUAAGAUUCAGUAUAAUAACCUUUUUAUAAUUAAUAAUUGUGGAUGCUCUUUGCUCAAAAAUAUUCUCAAGAGCCUAUUCUUUUUAUUAUAUGUAACUGUCUUCCACUUGCCUACUUGGUAGAUCCCUUGAGAUCAGCUAUUGUUCUUGGCAUGGUAGUAUGGCAACUUCCUGCGAAUUUCUCCUAUAUUUUAUUCUCCACUGCAUACAUUUAUGUGUAAUUCCUUUUUCCUCGUAGGGAAAACUGACUAAUAUGUGUAUGACAAUCAUAGUGUUGUCUCCAUGGAAUGAAAGGCAUGUGGAACUAACUGUUGUUCUUAUCAGUAAUUCAGUAGAUUUGAGAACUUUCAAUAUUCGUAUACUUCUCCUCUGUUAUGCCUAUGCCACUGGUAGAGUUAUGCAGGCAAAGUCAUCAUGAAAUACCAAAGUAGGUGCAUAGUGGUAGGCCAGCAAGCUAGGUCCAUCGGCAACACUGUAAUGAGCCUAAGGAAUAAUCAUACAAUUAUGAUUGCCAGAAGCUCAUGUAAGAUAUUAUAGCAUAGCUCCUAGAAUUCAUAAUUUGCUGCAACAAGUUGUUUUUUUUUUUUAUGUUUUCAAUAUGAUGUAUAUCAGUAUAAUUUCUGUGAUUAUUGGAGCAGAUAAUGUCGUCUGGCUACAUCUGGACUGGAAGUCUAUUUUGAAGGGUUUAAAGGGCGUACAGUUAAUUAAGCGGGCACUGUUUUUUUGUUUUAUUGGACUUCCAAUUGGACAUAAGAUAGUGAUUUGUGUAUGUCUUAGGGUUUCAUAGAGAACUGAGUUUAAAAGUAAUGCUGGUUGGCAAAGUGGCUAAAAUAAUUUAAAAACUAUACCAUGUUCAGUUCUUAAGCAUUAACUAUUUGGUAUGUUUAAAUGGCUUAUCAAAUGGCUAAUCUAUCCAAAGCCAUGCAGACUAAGCAUCAAGCUAAGCACAAUCUUAUUAUCACUUGCAGGAGUAAAAUCAGUGGCAGUACAAGAGUACAUAAAUACAAGAAUAGUGGUAGUGGUGGUGGAGUAGUACAAGAAGAAAAAGAAGGGAAAAAGAAACAAAAGUUUUAAUUCAUGGAUAGAAAUAAAUAAAAGGAGAAAUCCAAAAAUGAACAGGAAAAGGUAGUACAAGAAAGAAACACAUCAUUGGAGGGGGUUUUGGGAAGGAAAGACCUUCCUUCAUCAAUGGUUUAGUGGAGUGCCUUGCUUUUGUGAGAACAAAUGCUAGGUUGUGUUCAGAUAAAAGCAGAAGGACAUUCUUUUUCAUCUUACCAUGGCUAAGAGUACUCACAUGAAACAAAUUCUAGGUUGCACCAUUCUCUGAAAUAAGAUGAAAAUAAAUUACAUAAAAACAUGCUAUAAUUGUUAGAAAAUGUUAGGUAGUAUGUAGGAAACUUUGGCUUAA